CAACGCCUGUGUGGAUGGGUAGGGGAGCGUCGUGUGCCGGGUGAAGCAGCCGCGGAAGCGAGUUGUGGACGGUUCACGAGUGAGAAUGCAGGCAUGAGUAGCGAUACACACGUGAGAAACGUGUGCGCCGAUUGACUAAGGGUUCCUGGGUCAAGCUGAUCUGCCCAGGGUAAGUCGGGACCUAAGGCGAGGCCGACAGGCGUAGUCGAUGGAUAACCGGUUGAUAUUCCGGUACCCGCUGUGAAGCGUCAAACAUCGAGCAUCGUGAUGCUAAGGCCGUGAAGCCGUUCCGGACCCUUCGGGGAAAGGAAAGUGGUGGAGCCGCCGAACCAAGCGGUUAGUAGGUGAGUGAUGGGGUGACGCAGGAAGGUAGUCCAUCCCGGGCGGUGGUUGUCCCGGGGUAAGGGUGUAGGCCGUGGUCCAGGUAAAUCCGGAUCACUUGUGGCUGAGACCUGAUGCCGAGCCGAUUGUGGUGAAGUGGAUGAUCCUAUGCUGUCGAGAAAAGCCUCUAGCGAGUUUCAUGGCGGCCCGUACCCUAAACCGACUCAGGUGGUCAGGUAGAGAAUACCGAGGCGUUCGGGUGAACUAUGGUUAAGGAACUCGGCAAAAUGCCCCCGUAACUUCGGGAGAAGGGGGGCCACAUCCGGUGAUGGGCUUUACGCCUUGAGCUGGGGGUGGCCGCAGAGACCAGCGAGAAGCGACUGUUUACUAAAAACACAGGUCCGUGCGAAGCCGUAAGGCGAUGUAUACGGACUGACGCCUGCCCGGUGCUGGAACGUUAAGGGGACCGGUUAGCUCCAUUUCGGUGGGGCGAAGCUGAGAACUUAAGCGCCAGUAAACGGCGGUGGUAACUAUAACCAUCCUAAGGUAGCGAAAUUCCUUGUCGGGUAAGUUCCGACCUGCACGAAUGGCGUAACGACUUCUCGACUGUCUCAACCAUAGGCCCGGUGAAAUUGCACUACGAGUAAAGAUGCUCGUUUCGCGCAGCAGGACGGAAAGACCCCGGGACCUUUACUACAGUUUGAUAUUGGUGUUCGGUUCGGCUUGUGUAGGAUAGCUGGGAGACUGUGAACUCUGGACGCCAGUUCAGGGGGAGUCGUCGUUGAAAUACCAGUCUGGUCGUGCUGGAUGUCUAACCUGGGUCCGUGAUCCGGAUCAGGGACAGUGUCUGAUGGGUAGUUUAACUGGGGCGGUUGCCUCCUAAAGAGUAACGGAGGCGCCCAAAGGUUCCCUCAGCCUGGUUGGCAAUCAGGUGUUGAGUGUAAGUGCACAAGGGAGCUUGACUGUGAGACCGACGGGUCGAGCAGGGACGAAAGUCGGGACUAGUGAUCCGGCGGUGGCUUGUGGAAGCGCCGUCGCUCAACGGAUAAAAGGUACCCCGGGGAUAACAGGCUGAUCUUCCCCAAGAGUCCAUAUCGACGGGAUGGUUUGGCACCUCGAUGUCGGCUCGUCGCAUCCUGGGGCUGGAGUCGGUCCCAAGGGUUGGGCUGUUCGCCCAUUAAAGCGGUACGCGAGCUGGGUUUAGAACGUCGUGAGACAGUUCGGUCCCUAUCCGCUGUGCGCGUAGGAAUAUUGAGAAGGGCUGUCCCUAGUACGAGAGGACCGGGACGGACGAACCUCUGGUGUGCCAGUUGUCCUGCCAAGGGCAUGGCUGGUUGGCUACGUUCGGGAGGGAUAACCGCUGAAAGCAUCUAAGCGGGAAGCCUGCUUCGAGAUGAGUAUUCCCACCUCCUUGAGAGGGUAAGGCUCCCAGUAGACGACUGGGUUGAUAGGCCGGAUAUGGAAGCACGGUAACGUGUGGAGUUGACCGGUACUAAUAGGCCGAGGGCUUGUCCUCAGUUG
rnacentral:rRNA from 2 species